rnacentral:tRNA from 1 species
AGAAAAGAAGCUAAUGGAGCAUUUGAUUGUUACUCAAAUAUAGCACAAGUUAUUAGAUUGUGCCUUUUCUA